rnacentral:rRNA from 1 species
UGAAACUGCAAAUGGCCCAUUAAAUCAGUUAUAAUUUAUUUGAUAGUGAAAUUACUACUUGGAUAACCGUGGUAAUUCUAGAGCUAAUACAUUCUAAAAUUCCCCAACUUCUGGAAAGGGUUGUAUUUAUUAGAUAAAAAACCAAU